UGGCGAACGGGUGAGUAACACGUGGGUAAUCUGCCCUGCACUCUGGGAUAAGCCUGGGAAACUGGGUCUAAUACUGGAUAUGACCUUUCUCCUUAUGGGGUUUGGUGGAAAGUUUUUAGGUGUAGGAUGAGCCCGCGGCCUAUCAGCUUGUUGGUGGGGUGAUGGCCUACCAAGGCGACGACGGGUAGCCGGCCUGAGAGGGUGAUCGGCCACAUUGGGACUGAGAUACGGCCCAG
rnacentral:rRNA from 1 species